UACAGAGGGGGCAAGCGUUGUUCGGAAUUACUGGGCGUAAAGGGCGCGUAGGCGGCCUGCUAAGUCGAACGUGAAAUCCCUGGGCUCAACCCAGGAACUGCGUCCGAUACUGGUUGGCUUGAGUUUGGGAGAGGGACGCGGAAUUCCAGGUGUAGCGGUGAAAUGCGUAGAUAUCUGGAGGAACACCGGUGGCGAAGGCGGCGUCCUGGACCAACACUGACACUGAUGAGCGAAAGCCAGGGGAGCAAACGGG
rnacentral:rRNA from 1 species